rnacentral:tRNA from 1 species
ACGGGUGUAGCUCAAUGGUCCAGAGCACCGGUCUCCAAAACCGAAGGUUGCAGGUUCGAAUCCUGCCGCCCGUG